rnacentral:tRNA from 2 species
GGCUACGUAGCUUCAGUUGGUUAGAGCACAUCACUCAUAAUGAUGGGGUCACAGGUUCGAAUCCCGUCGUAGCCACCA